rnacentral:rRNA from 1 species
AUUGAACGCUGGCGGCAGGCCUAACACAUGCAAGUCGAGCGAGCGGCGGACGGGUGAGUAAUGUAUGGGGACUGCCCGAUAGAGGGGGCUAACUACUGGAAACGGUAGCUAAUACCGCAUACUAUCGGAUAACCCAUAUGGGUUGAGCUAGUUGGUGGGGUAAUGGGUCACCAAGGCGACCAUCCCUAGCGGGUAUGAGAGGAUGAUCAGCCAAACUGGGACUGAGAAACGGCCCAGACUCCUACGGAGGCAGCAGUGGGGAAUAUUGCACAAUGGGCGCAAGCCUGAUGCAGCCAGGCCGCGUGUAUGAAGAAGGCCCUAGGGUUGGAAAGUACUUUCAGUCGGGAGGCGUUACCGACAGAAGAAGCACCGGCUAACUCCGUGCCAGCAGCCGCGGUAAUUC